rnacentral:rRNA from 1 species
GAUGAACGCUGGCGGCGUGCCUAAUACAUGCAAGUCGAGCGAACAGAUAAGGAGCUUGCUCCUUUGACGUUAGCGGCGGACGGGUGAGUAACACGUGGAUAACCUACCUAUAAGACUGGGAUAACUUCGGGAAACCGGAGCUAAUACCGGAUAACAUAUUGAACCGCAUGGUUCAAUAGUGAAAGGCGGCUUUGCUGUCACUUAUAGAUGGAUCCGCGCCGUAUUAGCUAGUUGGUAAGGUAACGGCUUACCAAGGCAACGAUACGUAGCCGACCUGAGAGGGUGAUCGGCCACACUGGAACUGAGACACGGUCCAGACUCCUACGGGAGGCAGCAGUAGGGAAUCUUCCGCAAUGGGCGAAGGCCUGACGGAGCAACGCCGCGUGAGUGAUGAAGGUCUUCGGAUCGUAAAACUCUGUUAUCAGGGAAGAACAAAUGUGUAAGUAACUGUGCACAUCUUGACGGUACCUGAUCAGAAAGCCACGGCUAACUACGUG